rnacentral:misc_RNA from 1 species
AUUGCCGACCAAUAUUUGUCGGUCUGAGGGCAUGGAAAUUUUAAAGGCUUGGGUACGCCCACUUUUAAAAGAGUACAUUCCUUUCUACCCUUGUUCUUUUGCGCACUCAUGUUUCCCUCGGCAGGUUAGCCUGCCGAUUGGACAAUUAAAACCCUUUAUUUCUCAAUCAGCGUCUGAAAAUAAUAAAUAUAUA